rnacentral:rRNA from 2 species
AUGGGGCGCAGCAGGCGAGAAAACUUUGCAAUGUGCGAAAGCACGACAAGGUUAGUCCGAGUGAUUUCUGCUAAAGAGAUCUUUUGCUAGUUAUAAAACCACUAGUGAAUAAGGGGUGGGCAAGUUCCGGUGUCAGCCGCCGCGGUAAAACCAGCACCUCAAGUGGUCAGGAUGAUUAUUGGGCCUAAAGCAUCCGUAGCCGGCUCUGUAAGUUUUCGGUUAAAUCCAUGUGCUCAACGCAUGGGCUGCCGAAAAUACUGCAGAGAUAGGGAGUGGGAGAGGUAGACGGUACUCGGUAGGAAGGGGUAAAAUCCUUUGAUCUAUCGAUGACCACCUGUGGCGAAGGCGGUCUACCAGAACACGUUCGACGGUGAGGGAUGAAAGCUGGGGGAGCAAACCGGAUUAGAUACCCGGGUAGUCCCAGCUGUAAACGAUGCAGACUCGAUGAUGCAUUGGCAUAUAGCCAGUGCAGUGUCGCAGGGAAGCCGUUAAGUCUGCCGCCUGGGAAGUACGUACGCAAGUAUGAAACUUAAAGGAAUUGGCGGGGGAGCAC